AGAAUUAUUUAAAAAGCAAGCAGCCUUAUUACUGAUCUGGAAAAAGUUUUAGUGAUCUGUAUAGAAGAUCAAACUAGCCACAACAUUCCUUUAAGCUAAAGCCUAAUCCAGAGCAAAG